rnacentral:rRNA from 1 species
UACGGAGGGUGCAAGCGUUAUCCGGAUUCACUGGGUUUAAAGGGUGCGUAGGUGGGCAGGUAAGUCAGCGGUGAAAUCCCCGAGCUUAACUUGGGAACUGCCAUUGAUACUAUCUGUCUUGAAUACCUUGGAGGUGAGCGGAAUAUGUCAUGUAGCGGUGAAAUGCUUAGAUAUGACAUAGAACACCAAUUGCGAAGGCAGCUCACUACACGGUCAUUGACACUGAGGCACGAAAAGCGUGGGGAUCAAACAGG